GUGAGUCACUGGUCUUUUGGGGUAGAUUAGCUGGGUGGGGCUGAGCGCCCAGGGCAGACUCGGUCCUUUGUGUCACUGUGGGAAGAGUGAGAGAGGGGCAGAGGGGCCACUGCUCUUUCCCCACCAGUAUUUGCCUUGUGGGGGUGCCUGGCCCACCUGAGAAGUCAGGUUGGCGGAAUGGCCUGCCCAGGAGGGCAGGUCAGCCCGGUAGCCCCUCAGCAAGGCCACCUGGGCCUUCUCAUCUUAGGAAUGAGGCCAAGUGGGUGAGCAUGCUCAGAACCACUGGUGGGGUUGGCACUGUGCUUCUGCCUGUCCAGGCUCCAGGGCUGGGGCGUCACCUGUGACUCAUCCCAGGUGGUGCUGGGGAGCAGCCUGCCAUGCCCCACCCCCACCAAACACACCACACACACACACACACACACACACACCCCGGCUCUGGACUUCUAGGAGAGGACCUGAUCAGUGGUGUUUAUGGCAGUGGGGGCUUAUGAUCACUGGGGCAGCAGCCCAAACCCUCCCCUUUGCAGGCCCCACGGUGGCCGUGACGAAAUUCAAGGCUCCUUUCCACCCCUUCCUGUGGGCAGGGGGUGUGGUUUUGGGGGACAUUAUAUCAGCGUUUCUUAGGGCAGGGGCCUGGGCUGUCUUGUCAUAUCCAGAACACUUGCUCUAGGAGGCGACCAGCUGGCUGUCCCCCCCAUCCCCACCCCCUUUGCUUCCUCUCCCUCAAAAGUACUUGCUUCAAAGUCCACUCUGUUUCUGCCUUUGCACCCCCAUCGCAUUCGUUUAAACUGGGACACCCCGCCCUUUUGCUUCCCAGGUCGUCACCUUUCUCUGGAUUCAAAGCCUGGUCCCCAUCCAUUUAUUACCUCUGUAUUUUCAGUUUCGCUAUUCGUAAACUAGGAACAGUCUAGCCUCAUAGGGCAGUUAUCAGAUUUUUCAUCCAGCAAGUACUGUGUGAGUUAAGAGACCCAAAGCCCUUUGAAAAGUGCCUGGCAUAUAAUAAGCACUCAAUAAAUGGUAGCUAUUUCACUAUUACUGUAAUUAAAUAUUUACCGAGUGUCUAUUCUGCUAGGCCCUGUGGAUUCAGUGGUGAGGAAAACAGACAAUAUUACAAUGGAUGAGGUCAGAUAAAGGAUGUGCGGCAUCUGACACCUAAGGACCCCCAAUAAGUAAGGGGGUCCUCCUGCCUUUCUCCCUAGGAGUAUUCCCAGCUCAGAGACCCCUCUGGUUCUAUGUUCAUCAAACCUAUAGGCCUGACCUGAGAUGGAGGUUGUGAGAUGCUUUUGGCUGGCGGUAGAGCCCCCAGAGUGUCUAGUCACCUUGGGGUGGGCCAUGUGCCACCUAGGAAAAUUUCCCUGGGGAGGAGUCCUGGGGAGAAGUCUAGCAGAUGGGGGGGAGCAACUUCGAGGGUGGUGGUGAGUCCUUUCUCGUAUCCCAGCCAGCUUCUAGAAAUGGGGUGUCAGGAGUUUGCCUUCCAUGAGUCCUCUUGGUCGGGCCCAGGUUCCCCUUAGGACACUGACUCAGGCCUGACUCUCAGCAACAAAGUUGGUUUGUCUCAAAGGUUUAAGUCUGGUUUUGCAACUUUCACAUCUCAUUCUGGAAUGCAGACUUGCCACUCAGGGCUUCACGUGAGGGUGUGGCCUGGUGGUCGUGGUGGUUUAGUUGCUCGGUUGUGUCUGACUCUUAGCGACCCCAUGGACUGUAGCCCAUCAGGCUCCUCUGUCCAUGGCAUUUUCCAGGAGGCUCAGGUUCGAUCUCCGAUCUCCCGAUCUCUCCAGUUGGGGAACAAGAUCCCACAAGCCUCGCGGCACCGCUGGAAAAACAACAACAACAACCAGGAAACAGUAUAAAAUGUAGAUUCUUAGUCCCUGCUGCCGGAGAUACUAAUCCAGUAAAUGGAGCCUAGCAUCCUUAUUUUUCAGUUUUGUAAAUGAUUCUGUUGAUUUGGGUUGAAAACUAUUGCCCCACCCUGAAUGGGGGUUUUCAGGGAGCUGACCUCUUCCCAAUUCCAGUGGGCUUUAGGCUGGAAUCCAAAUCAUCCUGAAGAUGUUUGGGAAUGGGUGUGAAGUGGAUCGAGGAUAUGGUUAUGUCAUUUGGUUGGUUUCAAAUUGUGACUCUGCCGUGAACUAGGUAUGUCACCUUGAACAAAUGGGUUCACUUUUUUCAAAGCCUCAAUUUAAUAAAAGGGGCUAAUUAUACUGACUGUAAGGGGACAUCCUGAUUAAUAAAAGGGUUAAGGAAUGUAAGGGGUGGCAAUGGCCAAGUAGUUUCAUCAGAAUAUUUUUGUGUGUGUGGCCUCAGUCGUGUCUGACUCUUAGUGACCUCAUGGAUUGUAGCCUGCCCGGCUCUUCUGUUCAUGCAAUUUUCCAGGCACGAAUAACUGGAAUGUGUUGCCAUUUCCUCCUCCAGGGGAACUUCUAGACAGUGGGAUCAAACCCGCAUCUCUUGCAUUUCCUGAAUUGGCAGGUGAAUUCUUUUACUGCUGCACCACCUGAAUGAUUGUCUCUUAACCAGAGAAUAAAAUGAGCAGUCUUGAGAGAAACAACAGAAUCCAGGGUCUGUACAAUAACCAGCACACAAAAAUCAAGUGCUAGACAUAGGAAGAAAUAGAAAACGGACUCAAUCUCAAAGAGAAAAAGUGAUGACCCAGAUGUCAGAAUUAGCAUCAAGAACUUUCAAGCAACUCAUAAAUAUUUUCAAACUCCGCCCCCCCCAAAUAUAGUCAUAAUGAAGGAACAGAUGAGGAACUUCAGCAGAGAACUGGAACUAUUAAAACAAAAUCAAAUGGAAAUUCCAGAAGUAAAAAGUACAGUAACUGAAAUGAAGAAUUAACUUGAUAGGUUCAGUAGCAGAAUGAACAUGACAAAGGAAAGAGUGAAUCUGCAGAUAGAUCAACACAAAUUAUUCACCCUUAAGACCAGGGAGAAAAAGAAGUCACUGGAAAAAAUUAUACAGAGUUUCAUGGACCUGUGGGACAACAUUCAAAGAUCUACAUACCACAUGUCAUUCAAAUUUUAGAAAAAGAAAAAAGAAUGGGGCAUAAAAAUAUUCAGAGAGAGGGAGUCCCCUGGUGACCUAGUGGUUAGGACUCCAAGCUUUCACUUCUGUGGCCUGGGUUCAAUCCCUGGUCAGAGAAUUGAGAUCCUGAAAGCCAUGGGGUGUGACCAAAAGAAAAAUAUUUGAAGAUAUAGUUCCUGAUGAUUUCUCAAAUUUAAUAGAUACAUUUAUAGAUUCAUGGGGAAAUAAAUGGCAACCCUCUCCAGGAUUCUUGCCUGGAAAAUCCCAUAGACAGAGGAGCCUGGCGAGCUGUCUAGUCCAUGGAGUCGCAAAGAGGUGGACACAGCUUAGCAACUGAGCAUGCACAUGAAUGAUAAUAGUGACAUUAAGGAUCUCUGCAUGGAUGUGUUUAACAUCUUUAUGUCUUCUUUGGAAAAAUAUCAUUUGAGUCUUUAGUCCAUUUUUAAUUGGAUUGGGUUUUUCUGAUAUUAUUGUAUAAGCUGUUUAUACAUUUUGGAUAUUAAUCCCUCAC
ensembl:lncRNA